UGGUUAACGAGCUGCGAUGGUUCCCGGAACGCCGAGUGCACUCCGGGAUGAAAUGGGAACACGGUGAGGUAUCGCCCGAAAGGCGCCAAGUCCGUGACUGCCCCCGCAACUGUGAGCGGAGAGCGAUCCCGAGAACACCACUGGGCCAUGAACCGGCCCGGGAAGGUUCGGGAAAGCCGUGACCCGCAAGUCAGGAGACCUGCCAUCUCCGGCGCGUUUCG
rnacentral:ncRNA from 2 species